CGCCGAGAUCCUCCUCCGCCUCCCCCCGCAGCCAUCAUCCCUCCCCCGCGCCUCCACCGUCUGCAAGUUCUGGCGCAGCCUCGCCUCCGACCCCUGCUUCUCCCGCCGCUUCCGCGCGCACCACCGCCGAAACCCUCCCCUCCUCGGCUGCCUCGUCCAUGAUUUUUGCCAGGUUCGCUUCCAGCCUACCCUGGAGCGCCCCAAUCGCGUCCCGCUAUCCAGCUUCCCCGUCCCAAUCGCCGCCGGCGGCCGCUUCCGGAUCCUCGGAUGCCGCCAUGGCCUCGUACUCAUCUUGCACGACUCACAGAAGCAGCUCCUGGUGUGGGACCCCGUCACCGGUGACCAGCACAGCCUGGACAUUCCCCGGGGGUUCGCCGAGAAAACCUGGAUCCAUGCGGCGGUGCGUCGUGCUCCCAGAGAUUUCCACCAUUUCCAGGUGGUCUUGGUAGGCAACAGCGACAUUCAAAGUACACAAGCGGUAGCCUCUGUUUACUUGUCAGUGACCGGUGUAUGGGACAAUCUCGUCUCAACACCGCUUGCACCAGAGGAUUCUGGUUUUCCCACCAUGGUUUACACGGGCAUGCCUGCUGUGAUGGUUGGGGGGUUCCUUUUAUUGGUUGCUUUAUGGGAAUUCACAAGGAAUCCUUGAAUUUGAUUUGGAUAAGCGGAGCCUAGCUUUAAUACCCAUUCCAGUGGGGAACGCUCGAGACAUGAGUGUAGGCAAUAUUUGGGUUAUACCGGCAGAGGGUAGUGGCCUUGGUUUCCUCUUCCUGAGAGGCUUUUGUGCCCAAUUAUGGAAGAUGAAGACCGAUUGCAAGGGUGUUUCUUCAUGGGUGCUGGGAAGAAGCAUUGAUCUCGACAAGUUACUUUCCUUGAAUUCAGAGAUGGAGAUAGGGUACCCAUCGAUAGUAGGGUUUGCCGAGGGCAAUAAUGUGGUGCUUCUGUGGAUGUCUGCCGGAGUCUUCAUGGUUCAGUUUGAAUCAUUGCAGUUCAAGAAACUUUUUGAAUCCCAUGAGUGGUGUUGCUUUUAUCCACUUGAAGGUGUCUAUACUGCAGGCACAGACAUUGGUGGUGGAAACGAUGAAGCUAAACUUUUGUACAAUACAUGAUAUGAUUUAUCCGGAUAGACAUGUGGACGAGAUAUAUUGAUUGAGCAGGUAUCAAGAGUCAGGUUUCGUUGUCAGAGAUGAAUAAAUGGAUUAUGUAAUGUAUGUUCUUCCAUUCUGUAUGGUGUGCAUGGGGCCUGUGAUGUGCUCCUCCACAAGGGAGAUGACCUUGCAUAUAUAUCACGCACCGGUCAAAUGCGAUGUGAACCUGUAGGAAUUAUCAUGCCGUGGUCAACUGUAACUUGGAGUUGAUCUUCAAGCUGUGAACGACCGUCUAUUAUCCGAUUUCUGUAGGCAAUAUUCCUUCUGGCGUCAAGAAAAAUUAGCAUGCUUCAGUUAAUGGAUUAGCGGCAGCCCUGUCACUGAAUAUUGAAGUUGCCUGCACUAUUUUGUGUGUCCAGAUUUCUUUCCAGCCU